UACGUAGGGUGCGAGCGUUAAUCGGAAUCACUGGGCGUAAAGCGUGCGCAGGCGGUUCGUUGUGUCGGUGGUGAAAGCCCCGGGCUCAACCUGGGAAUGGCCAUGGAAACUGGCGAACUGGAGUGUGGCAGAGGGGGGUGGAAUUCCGCGUGUAGCAGUGAAAUGCGUAGAGAUGCGGAGGAACACCGAUGGCGAAGGCAGCCCCCUGGGCUAGCACUGACGCUCAGGCACGAAAGCGUGGGGAGCAAACAGG
rnacentral:rRNA from 1 species